rnacentral:sRNA from 1 species
GUACGCCAUGAAGUGCCUGGACAAAAAGCGCAUCAAGAUGAAGCAGGGGGAGACCCUGGCUCUGAACGAGCGCAUCAUGCUCUCGCUCGUCAGCACUGGGGACUGCCCAUUCAUUGUCUGCAUGUCAUACGCGUUCCACACUCCAGACAAGCUCAGCUUCAUCCUAGACCUCAUGAACGGUGGGGACCUGCACUACCACCUGUCCCAGCACGGGGUCUUCUCAGAGGCUGACAUGCGCUUCUAUGCGGCCGAGAUCAUCCUGGGCCUGGAGCACAUGCACAACCGCUUCGUGGUCUACCGGGACCUGAAGGUGAGCGCCCCUGCUGUCCACAGGCUGGACCUUCGUGGCUGUCCUCUCCUUCCUCUCGACAUCCCGGCCACCAGGCCCAGAGGAGUGGGGCUCCUGGGAUAUGGCCGCCCCGUG